UUCCAGCCAAUCCGCAGUAGACCCUCCCUCCCAGACCUUCCCACCUCCUGGACAGCAUCCAUUUUGAAGCUGCAUUCUUAGUGAGCUGUCCAGGAGGUGGGAGGGUCUGGGAGGGAGGGUCUGCUGCUGAUUGGUUGG